rnacentral:rRNA from 1 species
AGUCGCAUGGCUCUAUGAAGAAAUGGUCCGCCGCUCCAGGAUGGUCUCGCGGCCUAUCAGCUUGUUGGUGAGGUAACGGCUCACCAAGGCAACGACGGGUAGCUGGUCUGAGAGGACGAUCAGCCACACUGGGACUGAGACACGGCCCAGACUCCUACGGGAGGCAGCAGCAGGGAAUAUUGCACAAUGGGCGAAAGCCUGAUGCAGCGACACCGCGUGCGGGAUGAAGGCCGUUCGGGUUGUAAACCGCUUUCAGGAGGGAACGAAAAUGACGGUACCUCCAGAAGAACGCCCCGGCCAACUACGUG